GGACGACUGUGAAUGGAUGGGGUUCUCUCAUUUGGUUUUAUCGGGAUAUCACUAUCAUACACCAAACACUAAAAUGCUCAAAUCUAAUUUCAAGGUACUGUCCAGCACCUAAAUUAAUAGUUGUUGCAAAUAAAUACACCACAAC